ensembl:lncRNA
GCUCCGAGAGAGAAAACAGAAAAGCCAAAGAACACAUGCUUCUCUUUUGCAUUUUCUCUGAUGCCUGCUCAGAACCAUGGCUGCUGAGAAGUUGUUGCUGAUGGGUUUGCCCUGGCCUGAGAUGCAUUUCCAAUGGAUGUGGCUGAUAGAGGUAGUGGGAAGUCUCCUGUUACACUGAAGCUCUGUCCAGACGAUUCUAAAAAUAGCCCGAUGGAAUCCUGUGGUUGGAAGAAACUGUGAGAGGUCACUGAGUCCGUCCCUCGCCUGCAGAAGGGCACUGGCGUGCAGUCCAGCGUCGGUGCUAUUGGAUACCCCAGAGCCAGGCCAACAGGGAACGGGUCUGAGGCCACUGGCAUGGCUGGCAUCUUGGUCUAAUAAUAAUCAGGUCUUCCUCCAUUCUUGAGAAGAAACUUUUCAUCAGCAGUAGUCCAUUUCCAGAAAUAUACUGUAGCCUGGGGGCUUCCCUUAUGGCUCAGCUGAUAAAGAAUCUGCCUGCAGUGCAGGAGACCUGGGUUCGAUCCCAGGGCUGGGAAGAUCCCCUGGAGAAGGGAAAGGUUACCCACUCCAGUAUUCUGGCCUGGAGCAGGAAAUGGCACCCCACUCCAAUAUUGUUGCCUGCGAAAUCCCAUGGACAGAGGGGCCUGGUGGGUGACAGUCCAUGGGGUCGCAACGAGUCAGACACGACUGAGCGUCUGAGCAUAGGACUUAUCCUGUGUGCUAUGUCUCAGGAACACUUUAACAUAUUUUCAUAAGUAAUUGUCACGUGUGUUCCCAAGGGUUAUUGGCUAUCCUUCUGUCAGUGAGUGGGGUAAAGAGUAGAUCAUUAUCUCACAGUUAGACCAAAACAGAGGGUCUGAAUGUUGCUUUGAUUGACUGUUUGACUCUUUGACACUUGCAUACUUUUUCUCAAACUCUGUAAUUUUGAGGUCACGCUAAUGGAAUGCUCCUUUGUACUCCUGCUGCUGUCUGGAAAUGUCUGUUGUCAUCUUAUUGAUUAAAGAGAUCUCAGAUUUCUAUGGUUUAAUAAGUUCGACCUACAUAGCGGUGAACAGCUCACACUUCACCCAUACUGUUCUGAUG